rnacentral:rRNA from 1 species
UCCCUUAGAUGUUCUGGGCCGUACGCGCGCUACACUGAUGCAUUCAACGAGUCUAAAACCUGGUCUGAUAGGGCUGGGUAAUCUUUUGAAUGUGCAUCGUGAUUGGGAUAGAUGAUUGCAAUUCUUCAUCUUCAACGAGGAAUGCCUAGUAAACGCAAGUCAUCAGCUUGCAUUGAUUACGUCCCUGCCCUUUGUACACACCGCCCGUCGCUCCUACCGAUUGAAUGUUCCGAUGAAUACCAUGGACUGAGAGUAUGAAUGGGUUCGCCUAUUUCUGCUUCUCGGGAAGUGGAGUAAAUCUUAACAUUUAGAGGAAGGAGAAGUCGUAACA